rnacentral:rRNA from 1 species
CGAUCAGUAGCCGACCUGAGAGGGUGACCGGCCACAUUGGGACUGAGACACGGUCCAAACUCCUACGGGAGGCAGCAGUGAGGAAUAUUGGUCAAUGGACGAGAGUCUGAACCAGCCAAGUAGCGUGAAGGAUGACUGCCCUAUGGGUUGUAAACUUCUUUUAUACGGGAAUAAAGUGAGGCACGUGUGCCUUUUUGUAUGUACCGUAUGAAUAAGGAUCGGCUAACUCCGUGCCAGCAGCCGCGGUAAUACGGAGGAUCCGAGCGUUAUCCGGAUUUAUUGGGUUUAAAGGGAGCGUAGAUGGAUGUUUAAGUCAGUUGUGAAAGUUUGCGGCUCAACCGUAAAAUUGCAGUUGAUACUGGAUAUCUUGAGUGCAGUUGAGGCAGGCGGAAUUCGUGGUGUAGCGGUGAAAUGCUUAGAUAUCACGAAGAACUCCGAUUGCGAAGGCAGCCUGCUAAGCUGCAACUGACAUUGAGGCUCGAAAGUGUGGGUAUCAAACAGGAUUAGAUACCCUGGUAGUCCACACGGUAAACGAUGAAUACUCGCUGUUUGCGAUAUACAGUAAGCGGCCAAGCGAAAGCGUUAAGUAUUCCACCUGGGGAGUACGCCGGCAACGGUGAAACUCAAAGGAAUUGACGGGGGCCCGCACAAGCGGAGGAACAUGUGGUUUAAUUCGAUGAUACGCGAGGAACCUUACCCGGGCUUAAAUUGCAGAUGAAUUACGGUGAAAGCCGUAAGCCGCAAGGCAUCUGUGAAGGUGCUGCAUGGUUGUCGUCAGCUCGUGCCGUGAGGUGUCGGCUUAAGUGCCAUAACGAGCGCAACCCUUAUCUUCAGUUACUAACAGGUCAUGCUGAGGACUCUGGAGAGACUGCCGUCGUAAGAUGU